UGAACGCUGGCGGCGUGCCUAAUACAUGCAAGUCGAGCGAACAGACGAGGAGCUUGCUCCUCUGACGUUAGCGGCGGACGGGUGAGUAACACGUGGAUAACCUACCUAUAAGACUGGGAUAACUUCGGGAAACCGGAGCUAAUACCGGAUAAUAUAUUGAACCGCAUGGUUCAAUAGUGAAAGACGGUUUUGCUGUCACUUAUAGAUGGAUCCGCGCCGCAUUAGCUAGUUGGUAAGGUAACGGCUUACCAAGGCAACGAUGCGUAGCCGACCUGAGAGGGUGAUCGGCCACACUGGAACUGAGAAACGGUCCAGACUCCUACGGGAGGCAGCAGUAGGGAAUCUUCCGCAAUGGGCGAAAGCCUGACGGAGCAACGCCGCGUGAGUGAUGAAGGUCUUCGGAUCGUAAAACUCUGUUAUUAGGGAAGAACAAAUGUGUAAGUAACUAUGCACGUCUUGACGGUACCUAAUCAGAAAGCCACGGCUAACUACGUG
rnacentral:rRNA from 1 species